UGGAGUAGUCCCAAACAGGCCCUGUGUCAAGAAUUGAAGUAUGUGACAAAGAAACAAACAGCAAGACUGAAGAACAAAGUGGGAUUUACUGCCUAAACUGAUGGAUAUUUGGAUCGAUAAAUAGAUUCACAGUACAAGGCAGCCGCUUCACUCUAAUAUACUUCUACAGAGCUAGAGUCUGGUUUUCUUCUUGGAUGAUCCCCACUGAACCAGCCUCCAGCCUUCCAUAGAUCAUGGUCUGGACAGAGUUAAGGUAAAGAGAAUCAAGAAAUGUUGAGAAUACUUAAACAGGAUUGAGAUGUUGCUUUUACAGUGUUCGGAGCUAAGCAAAGAGGAAAUUAAAGAUAGCCACUGGAUGGUUAUCGAACAGUCCUGGAAGCGAGUCAGAGGUCAGUAAAAUGUGCAAUGACUUCCAUUGCGCUGACAGACCAACGAAACUGAAUGCCAUUGCUUAAAAGUUGCUGACAAUGAUCAUCUUUGUUGAAAAAUAACUGAUUUCCUUCCUGACAUUAAGGGACUGGGUCUAAUCCACACGUACUGAAACAAGGCCAAGAAGCGAUCGGUUCCCUGACAUUGCCCUCCCUCGCUGAAAUUGCUAAACCACUUCCUAAAACUAGCAAUCAGGAAAAAUCAUUUACUCAACCGCUUGAGACUAGUUACCUCCCAUCUCGAGACAGGAAUCCCUUGAUUCCCUUUAUUAUCAUGGGAACUGUGCUAGAAAUUUGCAAGAUGCGAUGCAAAUGGCUUCAGAUUUCAGUUCCACAUUAUUAGCUAAUUGCAGGAAUUACACUGACUAAAUUAGGAAUUCACCUGAUUGACUCUAGCUUGGUCCCUUUCGUGAUUUGGCUGCUGCACACCUGCUGGCUAAUUGCCGGUAAUGUGGAACACACCUCGACGGCGCACGGGCCACGGCGUUGCCAGUGAAGGCCGCCGCCACGUGCUGAGGAGUGAGCGCCCGUAGCCUUGGGAUCGCGGCCUCGCAGACGGCAGCAAUGAAGUGGGAGCGGGCAAGCUAUAACGCCGGAGGGAGCCUAGGGGCGGAUCGAAGCAAGCCGCGAGCGAAGCGUGGAGGCGCUGCGGGUGGACGGCGCAGCACGGCGGCAAACCAUCGGGAUUCGUG
rnacentral:lncRNA from 1 species